UAUGCAUUUGCACUAAAGAAAGCGGAUGAACUCAGCUGAAACAACUGAAACCUAAUCUCCAGUCUCCUUCCUCUUCUCUCCGUCUCUUCUCUAAUCUUAGCAAUCUCAAUUCCCUUUCUCGAUUUCUCUCAACCCCGUCGUCUCUGAGACUCCAACUCUCCAAUCUCCAUCUACUCUCUCUCUCGCUCUCUAUUUUCGUCUCCAUCAGGGGCUCCCCUCCGUCUCCAUCUCUCCGUCAAGGGGAAGGUCAAGAGCUCCUUUGAUGAGCCUUGCUUUCACUGAUCGACAAGAGGAUGAAAGAGCACACUGAUGAAGUGCUUCAUGCUGUCAAGUGUCAAUGGUGUAAGCGCACAGCCCACUCAACUUGAGAGCUAGACGCGUCGAAUGGAGAAUGCAGUCGAUGAUCACAGGGAAUCUCUUAACUCUUACCAUGGAAGGGCCUAUGGGAAAUUGCGGGAGCUUGAGCAUCUCUUAAGAGAGAUUUUCCUUGCAGACUAUCUGCUUGCCAAAUGGUUGUGGAGAUUUUUUACCAAGCUGGAGCAUCUAAGGAGGUAUGUCAUUACAACCAAGUAUGGGCUUCAAGGGAAAGGGUGGAUCACUAAGCAAGUAAGAGAAUCUUAUCACUACAGCAGACGGAAAGGAAUUAGAGAAGCUUGGGAUCAAUUCAUGACUCGCACUGGGAUCAAAUUGGGCGACGGAUCAAAGACCAUGUUUUGGAAGGACAAAUGAUGCUCAGAGAUCGCAUUAAAAGAUCUAUUUCCUGCCAUGUUCAACUUAGCAAGAAACAAAGACGAAGCUAUUAACGAUUAUUUAUCCCUCACAUGUUGGUGGUUUGUGGAACAUCGAACUCACGAGGACUCACCAGCAAUCGAUGUUGCUAUGUCGUUCAACAGAUCAUGCAUCACGAACAAGGAUUUCCUCCUGCUAGAUGGUUGAAAGAAUGAUCUACUCCAUAGUUCAUGGAAACAUUUCACGCCAAGAUCUUGCAUGCCCCUCUCUGAAUGCGGCCUCCCCGAAAGGUCCUCGGCCAACCAGAAUGAGAUAAAUCUUCCUUGUCGAAUUCGUAGUCCUUGGGGAAUACUGCACAGUACACAAAGCAUCGCUUCAAGUCCGAGGGAAAAUAAAUGUAGCUGAGGUGCAAAGCCUGGGGAAUGCCUUUCGUCUUUGGAAGAUCCCAUAUCAUACUCUCUGCGAUGGCUGUCCACUCACUCAGUUCAUAAUUGGACCGUAGAAGGUCCCCAAAAGUCUUCGCUGCCAGAGGCAAGCUUGCACAGCAUUCAACUAUCUUCUCGCCCGCAGACUUUAGAUGAGGGUGAUCAUCGAAGUUGUCCCUACCAAAUGCAUGGUAAGCGAGUAAAGCUCGACAAUCACCAUGGGAUGUAACAGACUGGCUUCGAGUGGUGACAGUGAUCUUUCUCCCUUUCACUCCGGUGGACUCGAAUGGCCUUCGAAGGAGAGUUCAACUCUCAUACUCCUCGUUCCACGCAUCCUCCAAAACACUGAGGAACUUCUUUCCCGAGAGGUUUUUCUGGAGCUCAACUUGGAGGGCGUUCAAAUCCUUUCAUUCGUGAGCAUUAGCCCCACCCACUGACUGCAAGAUCGUCCUUGUUACAGCCAGCGUGUCGAAUUCAUCGGAGACACAGGCCCACGCUCUCACAAGGAAGGAUCCUUUCACCUGCUCAUUGUAAUAGGCCGACUGAGCGAGAGUUGCCUUGCCUACCCUCCCAUUCAGGGGCGGAGCCAGCAUGUUAGCAGGGGGGCAAUUGCUCCCCUGAACUUUAAAUUUUUUAAAAUUUUACCUCAAAAGUAUAUUUAUUUUAACAUUUUUGUUCCCCUUGCCUCCCUGAACUUUGAAUUUUUAAAAUUUUAUCCCAAAAUUAUAUUUAUUAUAAUAUUUUUGCUCCCCCUCGACAUAAAUCCUGGCUUCGCCCCUGCUCCCAUCCCAACAAUGGGUAUCACCGAGAGAUCGUUGCUUUCAGCCAUCACCAAGUUCAGGAUAGCAUUUCUAUCAUCGUCCCUCCCAGAAAUGCAGGGCUCCGCCAAAGAAGUGCUGGGCAAUCUUCUUUGUUGCCUAGUUCCAGAAAUCCUCCCUCCAUCUCCCUCCCUCGGGCCGAGCGUUUUCUUUCGGCCCAUGAUAUCAGCCAAUCCACCAUCAAUCUCUUCCACCUUAUAUCUCAUCUUACGGUCGAAUGUGAGCCUUCUGGGGCUCAAAAAAGAAACGGCAGCUGGGGAUUAGAAGAUUGCGCAACUUGCUCGAAGAAGCACCGGCCUCGUCGAAGUACAUGAAGCUGCUUCGCAGCACCUCCUCAGUGGCGAACUCAUCGAGCAGGUUCUCCACGUCAUGAGCCAAGUCCGCAAGGUCUUCCAGCCACGGGGUCACUCUGGUCUCUCCACCCAUGGCUCGGUCCACGGCAUCUUCCAGCACGACGUGUGAAUGUCCUGCAGGGUCCACUCCCACUCUCGAGCUGAGAAUUGAGGUUCUCCCGCCGCGCAAACUUCAGCAGCUCAUGAGAGGCCAAUCUGUCGAACAGCAUCUGUAGGAAAGCGCCAAACAGCACCUCGGCCAUGAUCAAUUUCAGUACAGUAUUUAUGUUUCUUCGCUGGGAGAAAUCAAGUUUUGGGGAGCAGAGAAGAAAAAGAAGCAGGGGAAAGAAACUGCGGGUGCAUUUAUUGUUGGAGGAACCAACCGGGACCAAUGCUUAUAAUUGACUCUUGUCUCGCCAAUUGCUCAAUAUGAUCCUGUAUAUGAAGAUAUCUCGCAAUCAAAUCAUCCUAUUCCAGUGAUAAAUUAAAAGCAAUUAUUUUACAGUU